AUAUAUAUAUAUAUAAAGAAUGAUCAAUUUAUCAUGGUAUAGUACACGAAUGAGUCUAGAAGGAUCUUGAAUGUUGGCUUGUUUGAUGAGAUCCAGCGAUGAAACCCUGGUGGGUAUAGUUGUGGAACUUAGGUAUUGAAUCUAGAAUGUUGUGUAAGCUUGCAGAGAAGUACAUGUUGGUUAGGAUUUGAUUAGACUUGUUAGGCAUAUGGACUUAGUUUGGAUGAUCAUGGCAAUAGGCUAGAGAAUGUUGGGAGUUCCUUUGUUUUCAAAACCUUUUCCACGGGUUCGGCUUUUGUGUUUUGCUUGAGGGCAAGCAAAAGCUAAGUCUGGGGGAGUUGAUUUAACCCAAUUUUCACCGAUUUUAUCUAUGUUUUAGGUAUAGGAUUUUGAGUCUUUAUGUUAUUUCUCGAGUCUUUUUAGUGUCUUUUCAGGUAUUCUAUGCAAUUGGACAACAAUCGAGAAAAGGAGACAUUUUGGAGCAAAAGCUAAGGAAAAAGAAGCUAAGGACGAUUUUGGUUCAGGAAUCAGCGAGGAGUGUCGAUCGACACACUCUUGGUGUCGAUCGACACCAGUUUUGGCCCAGCAAAAACCCUAGACGCUUUCGAGUUUACAGAAGCUCAAGUUUGCCCCAGAAGACUUCCCUAUUUGCAUUAUUAGUCCCUGGACGUUUUUAGGGUCUAUAUAUAUUGUUUUUAGACCUAAGUUUCUUUUAUCAAGUCUUUUAU
rnacentral:sRNA from 1 species